rnacentral:rRNA from 1 species
UACAGAGGGUGCAAGCGUUGUUCGGAAUUACUGGGCGUAAAGCGCACGUAGGCGGCUUUCUAAGUCGGGGGUGAAAUCCUGGAGCUCAACUCCAGAACUGCCUUCGAUACUGGAGCUUGAGUCCGGGAGAGGUGAGUGGAACUGCGAGUGUAGAGGUGAAAUUCGUAGAUAUUCGCAAGAACACCAGUGGCGAAGGCGGCUCACUGGCCCGGUACUGACGCUGAGGUGCGAAAGCGUGGGGAGCAAACAGGG